UAAGCACGAUUAAAAUAAUCAUGCUCACACAUUUUCAGAACUCCGACCCCAACCUCCACGUGGUGCUGGCUGGAUUACAACUGUUGCACAAAAUGUGCAACAAUUGUAUACCAACUGGGGCGGGGGUGUUGUGUUUUUUGUUUGUCGUUUCAGAUCACCGUUUUGCUGUCGAUCAACGGAUACAUUUAUAGUUUUGCUUGCAGCAAAACAAAGUAACUUUUAUGUGCGACAUCGAACCACCAAUCCACCUCAGAACCAUGUCCUGUCGACACUCUCACCAAGGACGGUUUUAUAUGAUGUAUGCGGCGUGCGGAGUGAGUGGCAAACGAUACUUCAUCUAAGCUGCUCAUCGUUUUCUUCCUCUACUGCGGUAUCGGAAUCGUAACAUCGUAAAUAUGGCCCCAGCGACCUAUUUCUAUUGUUGCGACAAAUGUCAGCACGCGUCGUACGAAUCAUCGGUGGUAUGCUGCCCGAAGAACAAAGCUGUGAACCCACAGCCCGAUUGCACGAUCAGCACAGUUACAGCACAGCGUAAGGUUCAACAUCUGGGGCUCACGUUGAGCUAACAGCACGGCACCGUCAACGACACGAUCGGUCACCCAACGCCAUGCCCGUCGAAUGAUCCGCCCUCCACCGACCAAUCUGCUGACGCCGAUGGGCGCCCAAUCGCGCAACUCGGAAACAGAAUCUGCCUCAACCCCACGACCGUGACAUUACUAUUAGAUAAUAAAAGUGCGA